rnacentral:rRNA from 1 species
AGCCAUGUGAGUCGUUGUAGCAAUACAAGGCAUACGGCUCAGUAACACGUAGUCAAUCUAACCUAUGGACGGGGAUAACCUCGGGAAACUGAGGAUAAACCCCGAUAGAUCAUUAUGCCUGGAACGGUUUAUGGUCUAAAUGAUUCGUCGCCGUAGGGUGGGACUGCGGCCUAUCAGCUUGUUGGUGAGGUAAUGGCCCACCAAGGCUAUUACAGGUACGGGCUCUGAGAGGAGAAGCCCGGAGAUGGGUACUGAGACACGGACCCAGGCCCUAUGGGGCGCAGCAGGCGAGAAACCUUUGCAAUGUGCGCAAGCACGACAAGGUUAAUCCGAGUGUUUCCUGCUAAAGGAAUCUUUUGUUAGUUGUAAAACCACUGAUGAAUAAGGGGUGGGCAAGUUCUGGUGUCAGCCGCCGCGGUAAAACCAGCACCUCAAGUGGUCAGGAUGAUUAUUGGGCCUAAAGCAUCCGUAGCCUGUUCUAUAAGUUUCCGGUUAAAUCCAUUAGCUCAACUAAUGGGGCUGCCGAAAAUACUGUAGAAACUAGGGAGUGGGGAGAGGUAGACGGUACUCGGUAGGAAGGGGGUAAAAUCCUUUGAUCUAUUGAUGACCACCUGUGGCGAAGGCGGUCUACCAGAACACGUUCGACGGUGAGGGAUGAAAGCUGGGGGAGCAAACCGGAUUAGAUACCCGGGUAGUCCCAGCUGUAAACGAUGCAGACUCGGUGAUGCCCUGGCUUGUGGGCCAGUGCAGUGCCGCAGGGAAGCCGUUAAGUUUGCCGCCUGGGAAGUACGUACGCAAGUAUGAAACUUAAAGGAAUUGGCGGGG